CCCGUCGUAAUCGGCGGAAUGUCGCUCCCAUGAUCUAGUCCUCCCAUUAGACAGGUGCAACACGAGGACGGGGGAAGUGCGAAUAUGAUAAGCGCGCAUACAGAUAACCGAGGAUGAUGGGGUUGGGCUGACCACGGUGCUUGGCGACUUGGUGGAGAUCUCUGCCUCUCCGAGCAAUUCACUAGUGACCAACGACUCUCCGCGGAAGAAAAUGCUUCACACACGUUCUCCCGGUCACAGCGGUCCUCCCUGACCACACCCUGGGUUCCUAACGACGUCACAAAAUGGUCGUCGACGGUGGCUCGAGCUCAGCUCUGAUGCGCUAACUUACCCUCCCACAAUUUCUCUCUGUUUCACGGUGUUUCUGUUACCAGCUUACGGCGAGGCGAGGGAGAUGUGGUGGCUGGUCAUAUAGGGGUGAGGACUAGGGAUGGCGGUUGAUUCACCUAGGGUUGUGGAGAUUGAAUCCCACAGGAAUCG
rnacentral:lncRNA from 7 species